rnacentral:rRNA from 1 species
GACUCUCGGCAACGGAUAUCUCGGCUCUCGCAUCGAUGAAGAACGUAGCGAAAUGCGAUACUUGGUGUGAAUUGCAGAAUCCCGUGAACCAUCGAGUGUUUGAACGCAAGUUGCGCCCGAAGCCUUUUGGCCGAGGGCACGUCUGCCUGGGUGUCACGCA